rnacentral:rRNA from 1 species
UACAGAGGUCCCAAGCGUUGUUCGGAUUCACUGGGCGUAAAGGGUGCGUAGGUGGUUAGGUAAGUCCGAUGUGAAAUCUCCAGGCUCAACCUGGAAAUGGCAUUGGAUACUAUCUAGCUUGAGGUUUGGAGGGGGGACUGGAAUUCUCGGUGUAGCAGUGAAAUGCGUAGAUAUCGAGAGGAACACCAGUGGCGAAGGCGAGUCCCUGGACAACACCUGACACUGAGGCACGAAAGCUAGGGGAGCAAACAGG